rnacentral:siRNA from 1 species
ACGAGUCGUGCAGCUUCUGAUAGG